UACGUAGGUGUCAAGCGUUGUCCGGAUUUAUUGGGCGUAAAGCGCCCGCAGGCGGCUUGCCAAGUUCGAUGUGAAAUCUCCCGGCUCAACUGGGAGGGUGCAUCGAAAACUCGCAGGCUUGAGGCAGGGAGAGGGAUGUGGAAUUCCAGGUGUAGUGGUGAGAUGCGUAGAUAUCUGGAGGAACACCAGUGGCGAAGGCGGCAUCCUGGCCCUGUCCUGACGCUCAGGGGCGAAAGCGUGGGGAGCAAACCGG
rnacentral:rRNA from 1 species